AUUGAACGCUGGCGGCAGGCCUAACACAUGCAAGUCGAACGGUAGCACAGAGAGCUUGCUCUCGGGUGACGAGUGGCGGACGGGUGAGUAACGUCUGGGAAACUGCCCGAUGGAGGGGGAUAACUACUGGAAACGGUAGCUAAUACCGCAUAACGUCGCAAGACCAAAGUGGGGGACCUUCGGGCCUCACACCAUCGGAUGUGCCCGGAUGGGAUUAGCUAGUAGGUUGGGUAAUGGCUCACCUAGGCGACGAUCCCUAGCUGGUCUGAGAGGAUGACCGGCCACACGGGAACAGAGACACGGUCCAGACUCCUACGGGAGGCAGCAGUGAGGAAUAUUGCACAAUGGGCGCAAGCCUGAUGCAGCCAUGCCGCGUGUAUGAAGAAGGCCUUCGGGUUGUAAAGUACUUUCAGCGGGGAGGAAGGCGGUGAAGUUAAUAACUUCACCGAUUGACGUUACCCGCAGAAGAAGCACCGGCUAACUCCGUGCCAGCAGCCGCAGUAA
rnacentral:rRNA from 1 species